rnacentral:rRNA from 1 species
GACGAACGCUGGCGGCGUGCUUAACACAUGCAAGUCGAACGGAAAGGCCCUGCUUUUGUGGGGUGCUCGAGUGGCGAACGGGUGAGUAACACGUGAGUAACCUGCCCUUGACUUUGGGAUAACUUCAGGAAACUGGGGCUAAUACCGGAUAGGAGCUCCUGCUGCAUGGUGGGGGUUGGAAAGUUUCGGCGGUUGGGGAUGGACUCGCGGCUUAUCAGCUUGUUGGUGGGGUAGUGGCUUACCAAGGCUUUGACGGGUAGCCGGCCUGAGAGGGUGACCGGCCACAUUGGGACUGAGAUACGGACCAGACGGCUACGGGAGGCAGAAGGGGGGAAUAUUGCACAAUGGGCGGAAGCCAGAUGCAGCAACGCCGCGUGCGGGAUGACGGCCUUCGGGUUGUAAACCGCUUUCGCCUGUGACGAAGCGUGAGUGACGGUAAUGGGUAAAGAAGCACCGGCUAACUACGUG